AAUAAAAUUCCUCACUAGAAAAGCAGACGUAGGACGCCUUCUCUGGAUUUUGACGCGACCUCAAUUACGGAUGUCUGCGUUUGUACAGGAUUUCCAGGACCUUCUCCCAUUUUGAAAACUUCACAGUCAGCCAGUCACUGUUGAUGCGGAACUCAGGAACUUCAGGAGGAAAAAACUGUCCCUGGCUUGUAGGAGGCUGAGAGGAGCUACCCCAAGUCCAAGGUCAGAAGCGGAGGCCGGGAGGAGAUAUCCCACGUCCAAGGUAAGGAGCAGCAGCUGCGCUUCACUGAAGCAGCCGUGAAGAGAUAC